GGUUGACCUCGGAUCCGGUAGGAU
rnacentral:rRNA from 1 species